CACACAACUCCUCCCAAUUCCCCAUCUCGUCGAGGGUUUCCCGGCGGCUGCCUCCUCCGCCCUACCUCGCCGGGCCCAACCUCGCCGGCCUACAACGCCAAUGGCGACCAGCAGCAAGGAUAUGCCGUCGCCUCUGACGGAGAUCCCCGCCCACCUCCUGGUGGAGAUCUUCCUCCGGCUGCCCACCGCGGAAGACCUCGCCCGCGCCUCCGCCGCCUGUGUCUCCUUCCGCCGACUCACCACCGACGGCUCCUUCCUCCGCAGCUUCCGCCGCCUCCACGCACCACCACUCCUCGGAUUCCUCGACUACGGCAGAUUCCGUCCCGCUCUGCCGCCGCACCCAUCCGCGCCGGCAGCCCGCGCGCUCGCCCUCGCCGCCGACUUCUACUUCUCCUUCAUCGACUCCUACUGCCACUGGACCGUGCAGGACUCCCGCGACGGCCGCGUCCUCCUCGACCGCGACCUCCGACAACAUGAGCAGCCCCCGGUUUUCAAAGAUCUCGCGGUGUGCGACCCCUUGCACCGCCGCUACGUCCUGCUCCCCCCGGUACCUCACGGCCUAGACGCCUCGCUUGAGCCCCUGUUCCCCAUGGUAAGCGAGGCCCAGUGCAAGGCUUUCCUGGAUCCCCUCGGCGAGGAGGAGAUAGCGGCGGGAGAGACAACAUUCAGAGUGAUAUUGAUGGCGAAUUGCAAAACUAGUCUGGCUGCCUUCAUCUUCUCUUCAAACACAGGACAAUGGCAAGCCGCUGCAUCCAAGGGUUGGAGCGAUUUGGCCCUUGGCAAGCACGACAUGGCUGAGAUGUCAUGGGUCCACCCUUUUAUUCUCAGGCGCCAUUAUGCUUACGGCUGCUUCUACUGGGACUGGGUGGAAUUCGGGAGGAAAAAGUUACUCUUGCUUGACACCAGGAAGAUGGAGUUCUCCAUUGCUGACCUCCCGCCCGGAGAAUGGAACAAGGAAGGUUUAGCCAUUGUGGAGGCAGGGGAAGGCAGGCUUGGGAUGUUUGGUUUCCAUGGUGAAGCUACAUCCAAUCUCAUCUAUACCGUUGCACGAAACACAGGCAAGAGUCCCAGGCAGUGGCAGGUCAAGAAGACAUUCCUACUAGAUUCUGGGUACAAAUAUCGUAUCAGAGAUGCAACACAGAGACGUUGCAGAUUCAGAGGGUUUAUGAGAAACAGAAUUAUCGUUUGCAUGAGACAUACCCAUAUAUCAACUUUCCACCAUCAUUGCUGUCUUCAAGGAGAAUAUGAAGUGAUUUGGUGGAGUCGUCAUCAGAUCAGCUUUCUGAGUUCAAAGCGACAAGCGUGGGGUUGUGACAGAUGUGAACACCUACCUUUCAGACAAGAUGGCACAUGACAAUGAAUUUCACUUGGCAAUAGUCAUGUAUAUGUUGAUCUUUUUUUCAUGUUACUUCUUGCUUCAGUUUCUGUGACAUUUGACAUGGCUGUUCCCGGCCUAAGAAUGUGACAGUGAAAUGACCAGUUUCAAUCAAUAGACAACUGUGAUUCAGUGGAGUCGCCAUGAGAUCAGCUUUCAGAGUACAAAGUGGUCGCUGUUUCGAGUGCGUGGAGUUGUCACAGAUGGGAUCACCUUGCUGACAAGAUAGCGUGUGGCGUGAUGAUCUACAGAAUUUCACUUGGCAGCGUUUGGAUCAUCAGUCGUUACACAAGAUUGUAUGAACUCGUCACUGCACCACUUGACUGUAAUCUCCUCAAGGGACUUGGGCAGUGUUGGAAGCGACUGUAUAUUCUUGCAUGACCGUAUAUUCAUCGUCUUGAGUGAUGUGAGGCACUCAAUAUUGCCUGGUAAGGCAUUCAAACUGCAGUCUGUAACGGUAAGCUCCUCAAGAGACUUGGGCAGUGUUGGAAGCGAC